ACACAUGCAAGUCGAGCGGAUGACGGGAGCUUGCUCCUUGAUUCAGCGGCGGACGGGUGAGUAAUGCCUAGGAAUCUGCCUGGUAGUGGGGGACAACGUUUCGAAAGGAACGCUAAUACCGCAUACGUCCUACGGGAGAAAGCAGGGGACCUUCGGGCCUUGCGCUAUCAGAUGAGCCUAGGUCGGAUUAGCUAGUUGGUGGGGUAAUGGCUCACCAAGGCGACGAUCCGUAACUGGUCUGAGAGGGUGAUCAGUCACACUGGAACUGAGACACGGUCCAGACUCCUACGGGAGGCAGCAGUGGGGAAUAUUGGACAAUGGGCGAAAGCCUGAUCCAGCCAUGCCGCGUGUGUGAAGAAGGUCUUCGGAUUGUAAAGCACUUUAAGUUGGGAG
rnacentral:rRNA from 1 species